CGAUGUCAGCAAUACCUAGGUCACCCUUGAAUAAACUACCCUUGUUGCUUUGGCGGGCCGCCCCUCGGGGCCAGCGGCUUCGGCUGCUGCGCGCCCGCCAGAGGACCACAACUCUUGUUUUUAGUGAUGUCUGAGUACUAUAUAAUAGUUAAAACUUUCAACAACGGAUCUCUUGGUUCUGGCAUCGAUGAAGAACGCAGCGAAAUGCGAUAAGUAAUGUGAAUUGCAGAAUUCAGUGAAUCAUCGAAUCUUUGAACGCACAUUGCGCCCUUUGGUAUUCCGAAGGGCAUGCCUGUUCGAGCGUCAUUAUAACCACUCAAGCCUUCGCUUGGUAUUGGGGUUCGCGGCUGCGCGGCCCCUAAAAUCAGUGGCGGUGCCUGUCGGCUCUACGCGUAGUAAUACUCCUCGCGUCUGGGUUCCGGUAGGUUGCUUGCCAGCAACCCCUAAAUUUUUUACAGGU
rnacentral:rRNA from 1 species